AAACUCAAUUUAAAUAGAUACAGUUUUGACGAUUUCAGAAACUAAGGAUCUUGCAUUCCAAAAACAACAACAACAACAACAACAAUUCUAGUAUAUUCCCGCAAGUAGGAUAUGGGGAGGGUAGUGUGUACGCAGACCUUACCCCUACCUAGUGAAGGAAGGAUCUUGCAUUCCGAUGAUAACAAUAUUCAUUUUGUCAAUAUGACCACAGAGGCCAUCAAGGACUUCAAAAGAUUCCUAGAAAGCAUCUCGAAACUACAUGUUCUGACCAUUACUUAAAAAACACAGUUUGAAGGAACAACAACAACUACGACUAUGUCCUAGUGAAAUCUCACUAGUGGGGUCUAGGGAGGGUAGCGUAUACAAAGAUUCCUACAGCACUUAAAGAACACAGUUUAAAGGAACAACAACUACUACGACGUCCUAGUGAAAUCUCACUAGUUGGGUCUAGGGAGGGUAGUGUAUACAAAGACCUUACCCCUACCCCGAGGGACAUAGAGGCUAUUUAUGAAAGGCCCUCGGCUCAAGAAUACGAAAAAGAAAAUGACAUA
rnacentral:lncRNA from 1 species